GCCCUCGUGGUGUAGUGGUAACACAUCCUCUAAUACUGCCUUAAUAGUAUUCCUCGGAGGAGUGAGUCUCUUGUUCGAAUCAAGGCUGUGCCA